UUAACCUCGCUAGCUUUGUCUCUUCAGC
rnacentral:piRNA from 1 species